rnacentral:lncRNA from 1 species
ACCACGCACAGAGUCCACCACCGGUGGUGACGGAAUAGUCUCCAAAAGGUUAGCAUGAAACGGCACCUCCUGAACCACGCGAAUUUAGCAACUUCCAUACUCCAACAACUCAUCCAUGAGGUGUUGUAACGGUAAGGCUUCCGACAAGAAUGACGCUAAGGUGAGCAUGGCGUUGAACUCCGGUGGUAGGCCCACAAGUACGAUCUCCAAUUUCUCUGCCUCCGAGAUCCAAGAUCGACAAGCCUCGAUUAAAGCACAGGUAUUCUGAAUCUUUACUACACACUCCUUUAUCGACAGAUUACCUUUCUUAAGCGAAUGUAAAUCAUGGCGAAUGCAAGAUAACUUGACACCUGUGGCGGUAGUGAAAAGGCAAGUGGCAGUGUUCCAAACAUCGCACGCCAUCCUAGCAUAUGUAAAAGAAGACAACAGUGAAGGACUAAUAGUAGAAAAUAACGAGAAAGAGGCAAGUAACCUAUCCUGCUGAACUAAUGCUGAGGCAUCUGGAUUUGGAACUAGAGAUCCCUCCGAAGACGGCACAAAAUGCGGCAGAACAGGUAACGUUCCCUCCAAAAAAAACCAUUGAAUUCAUAACCUUCAAUAAUCAAGUGAAUAUGUUGCUGCCUCUGUCAAUCAUUGUUGUCCGACGUUUACCAUGUUAAUAUCUACAAAAACUUGAAAGAAAAAUAGAAUAUGCAGAGAAUGAUUUUUGUAUUAUUAUCUUGAAUUUAACCAGUACAACUAUAGUAUUUAUAAAAUGUGUAUGAGUAACUGCUGCUAACAAUUUCACUUAACAACAUAACUGCUUGUAUAACAAACUAAAAACUAAUAGACUAAUAGAGUCUUUAUCUAUACUCUAACACUUUAAACAGAGCAAGUUAGAUUCAUCCUGGUUGGUUUUAAUUAAGUAAAGCACUUCAUUUUCUAUCAUAGGCAAUUAAUUUAAAAGUUGAAAAUUUAGUUUUAACACCUAUGAAAAACAAAAAUAUGGCAAUAUGAAAAAUGAAAUAAAAAAUCGAGUAAUAUGAAAGAAUGAGAUGAAAACCCCUUUAUGCAUUUAGAUGACAUGAUUGAGAAGUUGUAACUACUGAAAACCAGAGCCAAAAAUGAAAGGAAAUAAAAACUAUUGAAAUCGUUUAGGGCAUCCAUCCCCUUCUUCACCAUCAUGGCUAAAGCGUCUUUUGGUUUCGGCAGGUCUCAUUUCUGUAGCAUCAGCAUCACUCUCUGCAUCUACGUAAAAUACAUGAACACCACAUCUCUCCACCUUGAUAAAUUUUUCUGCUGCUUCUUCAUAAUGAUGGAAAUUUUUGAUGCAGAAAUCAAAUGAUGCCUCCUCAUAAUUCUUGUCUCUUUUAACCAUUUUGAUGCUAGAUAGAAUAAACACGUGAUCACCCAUGCAUUUCUCUGACUCAGAAGCAUCCAAGAAAGAUAUGGUACUUUUGAACUUUUUAUAACCACCAUCAGCGGCUGUAAGUUAGUAGCCACAAAUACAUUUAAGACUUCUCAAGCGAGGGCAGUGAGCGAGAUCAGCCACAAGGCAGAUAACAAAAACCAAAAAUCUGCUCCCACCACCCCCAUUUGGGGCUAUCUUCAAACUUAAGGAAGAAUUCAUACUCUGAUACUUGAACUUAUUUGUUGAAAUUUUGUUUCUUGGGAAACAACAAAUCAAACUUGGAAGGAUAUCACCCAGGUAUUUCCUACCAUAUGUCGCUGCCCGUUCCUUAGCUAGGGAUCCAAUUUUGAGCAUGGCAUUUGCCUCAAUGUUAUUAGUUGAUUCUUGAUUCAAGUUGAAGCAAUUACAGAAUAACAUGCAAAACACACCAUCACCUUCAUCACCUAACGAACCAAACUGAUAUAAAUUUUGAUCUGCAAAGGGAACUUUUUCUAAUUACGUGCAGUCAUGUACAUUCAAGUCGAGCAGAUAUGGUGGAAGCUCUGAGAGUAAUUUGAGGCUC